rnacentral:rRNA from 1 species
UAGGGAAUCUUCGGCAAUGGACGAAAGUCUGACCGAGCAACGCCGCGUGAGUGAAGAAGGUUUUCGGAUCGUAAAACUCUGUUGUUAGAGAAGAACAAGGACGUUAGUAACUGAACGUCCCCUGACGGUAUCUAACCAGAAAGCCACGGCUAACUACGUGCCAGCAGCCGCGGUAAUACGUAGGUGGCAAGCGUUGUCCGGAUUUAUUGGGCGUAAAGCGAGCGCAGGCGGUUUCUUAAGUCUGAUGUGAAAGCCCCCGGCUCAACCGGGGAGGGUCAUUGGAAACUGGGAGACUUGAGUGCAGAAGAGGAGAGUGGAAUUCCAUGUGUGGCGGUGAAAUGCGUAGAUAUAUGGAGGAACACCAGUGACGAAGGCGGCUCUCUGGUCUGUAACUGACGCUGAGGCUCGAAAGCGUGGGGAGCAAACAGG